rnacentral:lncRNA from 1 species
GGAAUCCAUUGUUGCUGCACAUGUAAAUCAUGGCCUUCAAAUCCAGCUGACCCUGUAGCAGAAACACAGAACUUGGUUACCAGUGAUUUUUAUCUGCAUUGGAUCUACUUUAAUAAACCCCACAGCCUGAAUAGCAGCUACUAGGGUAGUGCCAGUGGAUGUAUAUGGAGACUGGGCUGGAAUGGCUGAGUGUGUGGGUGCGCAGCUGGGAGCAGCCAUGGCAGUAAG